AAAAAAAACCCUAAAGAUUUACACAUCUUUUGAGAGGGUUAAAAUGGCAUGAUAGCGCAGAAUGAAAAGGGGUUAUUUUUUGUUUUUAAAGUGAUGUUUACAAUCUUCUGAGCUGACUCAAGUUGCUUUCUGGUCUUUCUCCUUUGCUUCCAGUUUAUUUGUUUUGCUUAUGGUUUUGAGUUGUCCAGCCUACUGAGGAGGUAGAGGAGCCAUGAGGAGGUAUCUGACUCCUCAUGUUUGAAGUGUUGUUUUUCGGUCUUUUCUCAGUCUACUUCAAUUAAGGUUUUUUUUCCAACAGCUUCAGAAUUCCUAGGUUAAUACUGAAUUAAUGCAUUUAGUUGAAAGAGAAAAGACCUUGCUGAAAAGGAGUGUAUGUAGAGGAUUAGGUAUUGUAGUUCCAAUUGUUCCACACUCUAAAUAAUGGACACAUUGUGAUGACUGUAUUUAGCAUUAAUUUGUCUCAUUUGAAUCACCUUCAAGACAUUAAGGUCAAGAACAUGUCUACCUUCCAAACCAGAGGUAUUUAAAAGUGUAGAAUGGAGAGGGAGCACGAAGACUUACCCUACCACUUGUCAAGCAUCAGAAACCAUAUAGAAUGUUAACUUUAAAAUUCUGUCGAUUCCAGUGGAGCAGGAUACGGGUAACCUACUUAGGGUCAAAUGUGUUUUAGCUGCUGUUGGAGAAAAUGCAUCUAUUAUGCUUUGAAGCUUAAAGAAUGACUCAGCACAACUUCAGCUGACACGAACCACGGAGAGCCGCGAUGUGUGCGACCACGC
rnacentral:lncRNA from 1 species